GACUUGAGAGAGGAGAUGGAGUAAUGGAAAGUGAAGUGUUCUCUUGGAGUGUGAAGCUACUUACCACCAAUUCAAGGAAAGAAACUGGACAGAAAGCUGGUGCCUCCAUCUUUGUCAUGGACUUGUUCAUGAAUGAGCAUUAAACUGAAAUUGCUCUGGACCAGCUAAGGAGUUGCUAAGCAAUUGCUGUGGAUCUGCAAGUUUAUGUAUAGUUAAGAAGGGAGGACUGUGGCAUGGCCCAGGGUACUACAGUGCCUAAACUGAACUUUGAGUAUUGGUUGGAUAAAGCUACCGAGUGGGGUCAAGCCACCACUUUGGAAUCCCAGAAGGAUGUGUGCCGUCACUUGCCCCAACUGCAGGAGUUUCUACAGCAGAUUUAUGAAACUUUAAAACAUAUGAAUUCAUUUUGGCAAUCCAGCAGUUUCCUUUAAUUGGCCAGCUUCUGGGAAGGCUCUGUUGGAAUCCAUUUGUCAUAGGAUAUGAUGAAAGCCAGAAGACUCUGAUGUGGUGCUUAUGUUGUCUCUACAGCAGUGAACCACAGAAUCCUGUGGAACUGAAGGCCA